ensembl:snRNA U6 U6 spliceosomal RNA
GUGUUCACUUCAGCAACACAUAUACUAAAAUUGGAAUGAUACAGAGAAGAUUAGCAUGGCCCCUGCACAAGGAUGACAUGCAAAUUCCUGAAGUGUUCCAUAUUUUA